rnacentral:rRNA from 1 species
UACAGAGGUCUCAAGCGUUGUUCGGAUUCAUUGGGCGUAAAGGGUGCGUAGGCGGCGCGGUAAGUUGGGUGUGAAAGCCCUCGGCUCAACCGAGGAAUUGCGCCCAAAACUGCUGCACUAGAGGAAGACAGAGGUACGCGGAACUUAGGGUGGAGCGGUGAAAUGCGUUGAUAUCCUAAGGAACACCGGUGGCGAAAGCGGCGUACUGGGUCUUAUCUGACGCUGAGGCACGAAAGCUAGGGGAGCGAACGGG